ACACACACACACACACACAGAGAUUCCGUUUUGUACCAUUUCUUAAGAUUUUCAGAUAUCAGUAUUGUGGACACAGUGUGAAACAAAAGAAAUUCAAAAGUACAUUCAAUAAGAUAAAAAUUAGAAAGCAUAGCAUCAGGAAUAGCAGUAACAGGCUAGAAUUAGCUGUUAGAUUAAUUGCUGAUGUUAAAGGUGGUUGUAUUUACAGCUCUUGGUUAUCUACUAUUCAUUGGUAUAAAAAGCAAACACCAAGUUGCAAUCCAUAUGUGACAGAAAUACAUAUCGAGGGUGGAUUUUAAACCUUUUGAAAAUAUAGAGCAUAUAAGAACAUAAACCAUGGCCAAAUUCUAAAUCUUGAGAGUGAAUUAUAGAACAACUUUCACAAACUUGUGAACUCUAAGAACUUUUAGCAUCACCUAUUACCUGCUUAACUUUGUCCCAGUAUGA
rnacentral:misc_RNA from 1 species